rnacentral:rRNA from 1 species
GCUUGUCUCAAAGAUUAAGCCAUGCAUGUCUAAGUAUAAGCAUUUAUACAGUGAAACUGCGAAUGGCUCAUUACAUCAGUUAUAGUUUAUUUGAUAGUCCCCACUACUUGGAUAACCGUAGUAAUUCUAGAGCUAAUACAUGCACAAAAUCCCGACUUACGAAGGGAUGUAUUUAUUAGAUACAAACCAACAUCGUGGUGAUUCAUAAUAACUUUCAGAUCGAUCGCAAGAUCGAUGCAUCAUUCAAGUUUCUGCCCUAUCAGCUUUGGAUGGUAGGGUAUUGGCCUACCAUGGCUUUAACGGGUAACGGAGAAUUAGGGUUCGAUUCCGGAGAGGGAGCCUGAGAAAUGGCUACCACAUCCAAGGAAGGCAGCAGG